GGAAGCAGAGCCUGGGGUGUCCCCACCAUGGCCUGGGCUCCUCCGCUCCUCCUCACCCUCCUCGCUCACUGCACAGGGUCUUUGGCCAACUUUGUCUUGACUCAGCCCAGCUCUGUGUCGGGGUCUCCAGGGCAGAAGGUCACCAUCUCCUGCACCCGCAGCAGCGGCAACAUUGGCAGCUACUAUGUGCACUGGUACCAGCAGCGCCCGGGCAGUGCCCCCACCACUGUGAUCUACAAUGAUAACCAAAGACCCUCUGGAGUCCCCGAUCGGUUCUCUGGCUCCAUCGACAGCUCCUCCAACUCCGCCUCCCUGACCAUCUCUGGGCUGCAGUCUGAGGACGAGGCCGACUACUACUGUCAGUCCUAUGAUAGCAGUGCUAGUCACACAGUGCUCCGGACCAUGGGGAAGUGAGACAAAAACCCCCCAGGGCAUCCUCGCCCUGGCUCUGCCUUCAGCCUGUCCC